rnacentral:tRNA from 1 species
AGAGCAGUAGCUCAGCGGGUAAAGCCAUCGUUUGCUAUGCGGGAAGACUCGGGUUUGACUCCCGGCUACUCCG